GAGCUUAUAUUGAUGGAAUAAAACUAUACAAUGCUAGAACAGGUAAUUUGAAAGGCACUUCGCAUAUACGGAUAAUAAAGGAGAUAUAACUAACUUAAAAAUUAUCAUAUUUUGCAUUUUCAAUCUUCUUAAACCUUGCAACAUCUCAACCACAUUGACUCUAAACAAAAGAUAAACUAAGCAAAACAAAAUGGGGUUAAAGAGUUUGAAAGAACUAAGAACUUAGAGGACAUGCGACAAAUUGAAGGGACAGAAGUCCGGUAGUGGGUGAGACAAGACGUUGCUUGAGUUGAGUCGGGUACUCUGCAACCCCUAAGAAUCAAUUAUGCAGUUGGAGGGUCCUCUCUGACUAACCCGCUUGUAUAACAGAGAUCAGAAAAUAACCCUCGUCCAAAUUUUCAACCUUCAUUGUGAAGUUUGGCUUCCACAUCGUUCUUUUCCUGGCCGUUGCGUUGAUAGCUCGAUCUCCAAGAAAUGCACCAACUAGACAGAGCAGGUACUCAUGUGAACGUGGAGCCGAAAUCAACUCGAUAAAGGAGACCUGUUCAUCAUUGCUUUCCUCGAGAGUGAGGUUCUGGAUCAAGGUUGCGAUCAGAUUUCCUUUCUCCCUAUUCAACGUCGGCUAUUGGUUGAAGUGAUUGGGGCCGUCAAUCGACGACAGAACAAUCCCCACAACGGGAAAGAAGAAAACACUAAAACAAGGGCGAGGAACGAUCCAAAAUUCUCAAAGAAAACUUUUUCGUUUUUCUAAAUAAGGUUAAUUUUUUAACAAAUCUUUAUCUCAAGAUAAUGAAUUAAUAUUUCCAUCUUACUUUAUUUUGAAAGUAGAUCCAAAAUUCGAUAUCGUUACUCAUUGGAAGACUUAAUAAAUAAGUCGUUAAUCUUAUGCCGUAAAUGAGUAUUUUAUUAAGUGCCUCAGCCACAUCAAAUUUUAGACAGACUCUCGAAUUGAAAUGGAGGAAAAUAUUGACUUGUCAUAUAAGAGUAACUUAAAUCAGCAAUUUGUUACAAGAAUAAAUUUAUAGAUUAAAAUACUAUCUGCCCAAAUCUUAAUGUUGCCUUUGGUAGUCAGAAUUUGGAUGGGAAGUGGAAACUGUAUAAUUCUUAAAAAUAUAAAUUUCAAGAUUUUUUAUUUUUAUUUUUAGGAUUAGUAGGAAUUCUUUGUUUGAAUACAAAAUUGAAUGGAAAAACUGAUAAAAAACUAUUUAUUAAAUAUUAAUGACAAUGACAGAAAUACCCCACAUACUUAACUAAGAUUAUGCUGUUGUUUUAUUCAAACAUUAUAGCUGUUUGAUAAAAAUUUCAGAAUCAGUUCAUUAUCCGUUGUCAUCAUUGCCCAGAAUUAAUUUGAACUAAACAUGAGAUAAAAAUUCCGUAAUCAACUAUUAUUUCAGAGAAACUUUUCAACAAUUCUUCAAACAUUUAUAGUUAUCUUCAAUCCUCCUUUCCAACACUUUAAAAUUUAAUGAAGAAGGCAUUUGACGAAUAGCUCUCUCAUAUUAUCUUUGUGGCGAUAAAACAACUCCAACUUCAGUACGUUUUCGACGAGAAUCAAGCCUGUUUGCUUCUUCUCAAUGGCAGAUAAUCCAUCUAGCUUUUCUAGUUCCUCUUGUACAUCAUUGCACUUUCUAGCUAGCUCAACCUGCAUCAGUUCCUGUUCGACGACAGUUCACUUCGUAGCGCUUCUCCCAAGUUUGCAAAAACCUCCAUGAUUGGCUUCAAUCCAUCAAGUAGCUCCUUCCGACACUCGUCAAUUUAGCCUCAGCCUCGGCAACACGAGCUGCAUGUUGUGGCUUCUUUUGAGUUUAUUAUUCGAAGGGUUCAAUUAUUGGGCGAUGAGACUGAGUUUAACCUGGCUAGCCAGUCAAUAGAAAACAGAGCAACAACAGAGAGAAGGUAACUAAAAGGAAAGAAAGAGAUAUAGGUAUACUUUUCUUAGUUAGCUCUAGCUAGCUCUCCAUCAAAUCGUGAAUCACAAAAUGGGAUUGUUGGACUUUUUCAUAUUACUUAUCGGAGUUGUUUAUCAAUGCCAAGCCAGGACAUAAGCACAGGGCAAUGCAUGUCUGUAUUUUUUUAUCUGAAUUGUGAAAAUGGACUGCGAAGGCUGUGAAAGGAGAGUCUGAAGUUUUGUACUGCACAUGAGAGGUCUAUUCUUACUUUACUUCAGAUAUCCUUUAAUUACUAACUUGUUACAUAUUGAUAUGAAUUGUUGAUAUGCACCUUGUGUUUGUAACUUAACGAUCCAGGGGCGAAGUCAGUGAAGUAUUUGAACAACAACAAAAACAACCACAUAAUGCAAGUAUUUGAACCACAGAAUGCAAUAAACUUCAACAUCCGUAAUACAACAACAAGUAAUCAAAGUAAUACCUGAAUUGAGAAAAUUCGCAGUGACAGUAGAGUUGAGAAGGAAAUUGAUUUUCUAUAGAGUUUCUUUGUUUUGAUCUCUUCUCCUCUUCCGUCAAGAGGUAAACCUUAGUGAGCUGCGGAUCCUUACAAGGGGAUGGGGAUGAUUAGGGAUAUGACAAAUGAUGGUGCACGGGGAAGGGGAUGAUUAGGGAUCUAGACUAUACCUAAUCAGCUAUCUUGGUUGACCUCGAGACUGUGGAACGGACUUCGUCGAAAUUGGAAGUGACGCCAGAGUCACGAACACCGUCGCUUCCGGCUUCAGAGAGCUACGGAGGCGAUCAGAGAUACUGUGGAAAUCAGAUGGAGCUGCGAAGGUGGAGUUCGAAUUUCUCUCGCAUCGACGGCAGCUGUGGAAAUCAGAUUGAGCUUGACAUAAUAGGGUUUCGAAGUAAUAUAUAUCAAUGGCAAUUUUGUAAUAAUAGAUACCUACAAGGGCAGCGUGUAUAUUUUUUAGAUAGAAUCUCAAAAUUCGA
rnacentral:lncRNA from 1 species